rnacentral:rRNA from 1 species
CGCGUAGGCGGCUUGGCAAGUCAGAUGUGAAAGCCCCGGGCUUAACCCGGGAAUUGCAUCUGAAACUGCUUUGCUUGAGUCCUGGAGGGGAUAGUGGAAUUCCCAGUGUAGCGGUGAAAUGCGUAGAUAUUGGGAGGAACACCUGCGGCGAAGGCGGCUAUCUGGACAGUGACUGACGCUGAGGCGCGAAAGCUAGGGGAGCGAACGGGAUUAGAUACCCCGGUAGUCCUAGCCGUAAACGAUGGGCACUUGGUGUUGGGGGUAUUGAGUCCCUCGGUGCCGGAGUUAACACGUUAAGUGCCCCGCCUGGGGAGUACGGUCGCAAGACUGAA